CCGAAAAAGGAGCCUGAGAAACGGCUUCCACAUUCCAUGUUGGCAGCAGGCACGCAAAUUACCCACUCCCGGCACGGGGAGGUACGUGACGAAAAAUAACAAUACGGGACUCUUUCGAGGCCCCGUAAUUGGAAUGAGUACACUUUAAAUCCUUUACCGAGGAUCUAUUGGAGGGCAAGUCUGGUGCCAGCAGCCGCGGUAAUUCCAGCUCCAAUAGCGUAUAUUAAAGUUGUUGCGGUUAAAAAGCUCGUAGUUGGAUUUCUGUUCCAGACUGACGGUCCACCGAAUCGGUGGCGACUGUCAGGCCUGAACAUCCCGUCGGUUUUUCCCCAAUUUCCCGCGGUGCUCUUUACUGAAGUGUCGCGGGAGGCCGACAAGUUUACUUUGAAAAAAUUAGAGUGCUCAAAGCAGGCGGUCAGCCUGAAUAAUGGUGCAUGGAAUGAUGGAAUAGGACCUCGGUUCUAUUUUGUUGGUUUUCGCAACUCGAGGUAAUGAUUAAGAGGGACAGACGGGGGCAUUCGUAUUGCGACGCUAGAGGUGAAAUUCUUGGACCGUCGCAAGACGAACUAUUGCGAAAGCAUUUGCCAAGAAUGUUUUCAUUAAUCAAGAACGAAAGUUAGAGGUUCGAAGGCGAUCAGAUACCGCCCUAGUUCUAACCAUAAACGAUGCCAACCAGCGAUCCGCCGGAGUUCCUUACAUGACUCGGCGGGCAGCUUCCGGGAAACCAAAGUCUUUGGGUUCCGGGGGAAGUAUGGUUGCAAAGCUGAAACUUAAAGGAAUUGACGGAAGGGCACCACCAGGAGUGGAGCCUGCGGCUUAAUUUGACUCAACACGGGAAAACUCACCCGGCCCGGACACUGGAAGGAUUGACAGAUUGAUAGCUCUUUCUUGAUUCAGUGGGUGGUGGUGCAUGGCCGUUACUUAGUUGGUGGAGCGAUUUGUCUGGUUAAUUCCGAUAACGAACGAGACUCUGGCCUGCUAAAUAGGAGGCUGAUUCCGUCAGUCAGCCGGCACUUCUUAGAGGGACAGGCGGUCUUUAUCCGCACGAGAUAGAGCAAUAACAGGUCUGUGAUGCCCUUAGAUGUCCGGGGCCGCACGCGCGCUACACUGAAGGAAUCAGCGUGUGCUUGUCCCUGUCUGACAAGACUGGGUAACCCGCUGAACCUCCUUCGUGAUGGGGAUAGGGGCUUGUAAUUGUUCCCCUUGAACGAGGAAUUCCCAGUAAGCGCGAGUCAUAAGCUCGUGUUGAUUACGUCCCUGCCCUUUGUACACACCGCCCGUCGCUACUACCGAUUGAAUGAUUUAGUGAGGUCUUCGGACUUGCCGCCGUAGCCGUGGGCUUCGGUUCCGCAACGGAUGGCGGGAAAGAUGACCAAACUUGAUCAUUUAGAGGAAGUAAAAGUCGUAACAAGGUUUCC
rnacentral:rRNA from 1 species